UUUAUGGUGGUUUGAAAAGGUACAGGGUCAAUAUAGUGCUUGCCCAAUUCAGUUUGCCAGAUUGGUUUGCUGGGUUUGUGUUGCCUUUUGAGACCAUAUGGUAGCCCAGGAAUGUGAAAUAACCCCAUCUUUUAGAGCCGUCACAUGGUUCCUGGGGGUCCUGAAUUGGAGAAGGGGGACUCUCUCGGCUCAGUCCAGAGAGUCCCCCCAAAGAAGAAGACCAAUCACCGGCGGCGGAACGCGGCGAUCAGUAAGUUCAUGGGAGAGUAG